rnacentral:tRNA from 1 species
CAAGAGAUAGUUUAUAAAAAUAUUAGUUUUGGAUACUAAAGAUAAUAGUGAUAUUUCUUUA